GAGUUUGAUCAUGGCUCAGAUUGAACGCUGGCGGCAUGCCUUACACAUGCAAGUCGAACGGCAGCAUGAUCUAGCUUGCUAGAUUGAUGGCGAGUGGCGAACGGGUGAGUAAUACAUCGGAACGUGCCCUGUAGUGGGGGAUAACUAGUCGAAAGAUUAGCUAAUACCGCAGUACGACCUGAGGGUGAAAGUGGGGGACCGCAAGGCCUCAUGCUAUAGGAGCGGCCGAUGUCUGAUUAGCUAGUUGGUGGGGUAAAGGCCCACCAAGGCGACGAUCAGUAGCUGGUCUGAGAGGACGAUCAGCCACACUGGGACUGAGACACGGCCCAGGACUCCUACGGGAGGCAGCAGUGGGGAAUUUUGGACAAUGGGCGAAAGCCUGAUCCAGCAAUGCCGCGUGUGUGAAGAAGGCCUCGG
rnacentral:rRNA from 1 species